AUGCAUGCCUCGCAGUUGUCUGAGAAGCAAAGGAUGGGGAGGCUGGCUGGGCAAGCUGGCUGGGACCUCGCCGUUGCUUCUGCUUUCCUUCCAGGUGUUUCAGGCCAAGAAACCGUCAGCCAGGAGGACCAGCUUGUUUCUGUCAAGGAGGGAGAAGCCGUCCACCUCAAGUGUGUCUAUCAGGGGAAUUCAGGUGGCUUGCAGUGGUACAAGCAGACGCAAAGUGGCCUGAUCCAGUUCAAGACUCAGCUCUUUGCCACUAGAACGGAAUCUCAUGGCCAUUUCAAUGUCAGCCUGGACCAAAGCGAGAAGAUCUCCUUCUUCUCCCUGAAUGGAGCCCGAUUGGAUGAUUCUGCUGUCUACUUUUGUGCUUCUCUCCACAAGAAGCUAUCCUGGGCUGAAGGGACAGAGCUGAAGGUCACAUCAAUGGGGCCAAAGAUCCUCCCCCAACAUGCUACCAGCAUCUUUUAA